rnacentral:misc_RNA from 1 species
GGUGUAUGGUUUGGNACGUGUGGUUGGCUGCGGCAUUUGCAACAACUUGCAUGCUUUCAGACCUCUUCAGUUGUGCGGCAAGGCUUGUAUCGCCUUGAGCGUAAUGUGGGUUUUCUGUGCUGGCUACCUAAUCAAUGGUAUCGGUUGGAUUGAUCAAAGUUUGAUUUCGUCUUCCGUCGCAUUCGUGGCGUGAGGCGAACCUCGACGCGGUCUCUUUGAUCCACCUCGUUGAAGCACGUGCUUCGACGUUGUGGCACAUUGAGCAUUGCUUGGUCUCUUGUAUACGGAACAUAUAGUGGGCAUGGAUCUAACGAUCCUCGUUUGCCCUCAUAUUAGCGUAACGCUUCUCUAACACGACUUGCGCCAUGUUUUAGCUCGUAC